GGUGAAAUGCAUAGAUAUAACACAGAACCCCGAUUGCGAAGGCAGCUUACCGGGCUACAUCUGACGCUGAGGCACGAAAGCGUGGGGAUCAAACAGGAUUAGAUACCCUGGUAGUCCACGCAGUAAACGAUGAAUACUAGCUGUAUGCGAUAUAUUGUAUGUGGCAAAGCGAAAGCAUUAAGUAUUCCACCUGGGGAGUACGUUCGCAAGAAUGAAACUCAAAGGAAUUGACGGGGGCCCGCACAAGCGGAGGAACAUGUGGUUUAAUUCGAUGAUACGCGAGGAACCUUACCCGGGCUUGAAAUGCAUCUGACCGGUCUGGAAACAGACUUUCUAGCAAUAGCAGAUGUGUAGGUGCUGCAUGGUUGUCGUCAGCUCGUGCCGUGAGGUGUCGGCUUAAGUGCCAUAACGAGCGCAACCCUUAUCAUUAGUUGCCAUCGGGUUAUGCCGGGAACUCUAAUGAGACUGCCACCGUAAGGUGUGGGGAAGGUGGGGAUGACGUCAAAUCAGCACGGCCCUUACGUCCGGGGCGACACACGUGUUACAAUGGGGGGUACAGAGGGUUGCUACCGCGCGAGCGGAUGCUAAUCUCUUAAAGCCUCUCUCAGUUCGGAUCGGAGUCUGCAACUCGACUCCSKGRARCUGGAUUCGCUAGUAAUCGCSCMUCAGCCAUGGNCSCGGUGAAUACGUUCCCGGGCCUUGUACACMCCGCCCGUCAAGCCAUGGAAGCCSGGGGGACCUGAAGUACGUAACCGCACAAGGAGCKYCCUAGGRUAAACCGKUAACUGGGGNUAAGUCGUAACAAGGUAGCCGUACCGGAAGGUGCGGCUGGAACACCUCCUUUCUGGAGUGAUGGUUUUCCAAAUAAACAAGCCUGUAAGUUAUGCACAGUUUUUUUUCAGCGACACUCAAGAAGAGAAGAAAAGACAAAGUGGUAUGGUGGUUCUCCCUUUUUUUAAUAAAAUUACUGCACAAGCAGUUGAAUUAUUGUUUAAUCAUUUUUAAAAUAUACCCCGUAGCCUCGGAAAUAAAAGAGGAAGACAGCCAGUCCUAUAGCUCAGUUGGUUAGAGCGCUACACUGAUAAUGUAGAGGUCGGCAGUUCAACUCUGCCUGGGACUACAAAGCAAGCGGAAAGCGGGAAAGUGGAAAGUUAAUAGCGAAUAGCUAAUAGCUAAUAAUUAAAAACUAAUAGUGAUUAGUGCAUAGCAGAGAGCGAAAAAAUCCAGUAGACCGCAGAGUAAUAAUAAAAGGUAUAAAAUAGUGUGAAAGCAUUUUAUACGACCAACAAACGAUCUUUGACAUAUUGUAACAAGAAGAGAAGUAAGGUAAAGAUACCGGUAAAGAAAGCAUGUGAAUUGAUUCACGAUUUACCCGGUACGAUAUUAAUACGAUAAAAUAAAAAAAGCAAAUAAGAGCGAACGGUGGAUGCCUAGGCUCUGGGAGGCGAUGAAGGACGUGAUAAGCUGCGAAAAGCUACGGGUAGGUGCAAAUAACCGAUC
rnacentral:sRNA from 1 species